AAAAGCUGAGGAAUAGAAACCAACAGGGAUUGCCUCAGUAGCGGCGAGUGAAGCGGCAAGAGCUCAGAUUUGAAAUCGUGCUUUGCGGCACGAGUUGUAGAUUGCAGGUUGGAGUCUGUGUGGAAGGCGGUGUCCAAGUCCCUUGGAACAGGGCGCCCAGGAGGGUGAGAGCCCCGUGGGAUGCCGGCGGAAGCAGUGAGGCCCUUCUGACGAGUCGAGUUGUUUGGGAAUGCAGCUCCAAGCGGGUGGUAAAUUCCAUCUAAGGCUAAAUACUGGCGAGAGACCGAUAGCGAACAAGUACUGUGAAGGAAAGAUGAAAAGCACUUUGAAAAGAGAGUGAAACAGCACGUGAAAUUGUUGAAAGGGAAGGGUAUUGCGCCCGACAUGGGGAUUGCGCACCGCUGCCUCUCGUGGGCGGCGCUCUGGGCUUUCCCUGGGCCAGCAUCGGUUCUUGCUGCAGGAGAAGGGGUUCUGGAACGUGGCUCUUCGGAGUGUUAUAGCCAGGGCCAGAUGCUGCGUGCGGGGACCGAGGACUGCGGCCGUGUAGUCACGGAUGCUGCAGAAGAACCCC
rnacentral:rRNA from 1 species